rnacentral:lncRNA from 1 species
UUUUUCUUGAUGUCCUCUUUCAGUGCUUUAGCAGAGGGAAUUCGAAUACCAAAGAAGCCAAUAUAGAGUAUAGAUGAAGCUUGUACAAUUGCGUGCGUCAGCGCCUUCAAUUCCUUGGCACUCAUGCUAUUGUGCCUCACCAUAUUUUGAUUAUAUUGCACAACACUAGAUACCUCCAUGGCAUUUCUCUCUUUCCUAGUAGCUACAACACCAUUGGCCACAUCAUCGGGUAGGGGUGCAUGGUGACCAACGGCCAUAGAUGUGCAGAGGACAGUCCGAUGAGACGCACGGGUGCUGCCAGGAAGGGAGCCACAGCAUCUGCUGCCGUGGAGGUCGGUCGCGCCAGGCGGUAGCGCAAAGGGUCACCGGUGACGCGGGGGAGGCGGCGGGGAUCGGGAUGUUUCGGCAGAGGCGCAUGGUGGUAAGGCAGCAGCGGAAUGACGUGGAAGGAUGCUUGCGCGCGGGAUCCAUGGCGCCCAUGAGCUGCGAAUGGAUGUGUGCGUGCGGUAUCCACGAUGGCCGGAUCCGCCUGCUGCUGGUUGGUGCGCCGCAUCACUUGUCGCCCUGCAGUGCACAGAGAAAGUUUCAGACAUGCGCAUUAGUGUUUGAAGUGCCAGAAAUUCAGAACAAAUCUUCAAGUUCACUUCAACAACUGAACACUUGAACAUCAAACAAGACAAAUGCGUGCGUGGUGGAGUCAGCCGCCUUGGUACAGCCGGUCCAACCACUGAUCCGUUCGAAGUUCACACCGGGCCUAACCUGCAAUAGAACACAAAGAAAAUCAGAGUUGCAUGAACUUGGACGAGAGAGGAGCACAUGGAGUUGUAGCUCUCGUCGGCGCGGCGGGGCGUCGAAACCAGUGGAGUGGACUGGACGAGGAGCGCCCUAGGAGGUGGGAGGUGGCGUCCACCGGCAAGGUUUGCUGGGAGAUGGGGGAUCCCAGUCAAGUGCAGCUGAGCCAGGGGACGCGGUCGCCGGCUGCGAUGGAUGGUGGAGGUCAGGCGGUGGGAGAGUGGUGGGGUUGGAGGGCGGCGGCGGGGGGCGAUCUAAGGCGCACCUGGGGGACGGCGGCGAGAGGUGCAUCGGAGCUGGGAGGGCCGUCGGCGGUGGCGUCCGAGGAUGCAGAGCUGCGGCGAGAAGCGCGUCGGGGCGGGAG